GGGACCAUGGGUUAGCCUGGUAUACUUCAGCGUUUGGGACGCUGCGACCCCGGUUCAAAUCCGGGUGGUCCCA
rnacentral:tRNA from 1 species